UUUUCAGUGUCGCAGGGAAACCGAUAAACACACCGCCUGGGGAGUACGACCGCAAGGUUAAAACUCAAAUGAAUUGACGGGGACCCGCACAAGUAGUGGAGCAUGUGGUUUAAUUCGAAGAUACGCGCAGAACCUUACCAACACUUGACAUGUUCGUCGCGACUCUAAGAGAUUAGAGUUUUCGGUUCGGCCGGACGAAACACAGGUGCUGCAUGGCUGUCGUCAGCUCGUGUCGUGAGAUGUUGGGUUAAGUCCCGCAACGAGCGCAACCCUCACUUUUAGUUGCCAUCAUUAAGUUGGGCACUCUGAAAGAACUGCCAGUGAUAAGCUGGAGGAAGGUGGGGAUGACGUCAAGUCCUCAUGGCCCUUACGUGUUGGGCUACACACGUGCUACAAUGGCAUCUACAACAGGAAGCAAAACGGCAACGUUAAGCAAAUCCCGAAAAGAUGCCUCAGUUCGGAUUGCACUCUGCAACUCGAGUGCAUGAAGCUGGAAUUACUAGUAAUCGUGGAUCAGCGUGCCACGGUGAAUGCGUUCCCGGGUCUUGUACACACCGCCCGUCACACCAUGGGAGUUGGUUCUACCUUAAGGCAAGGUUUUAAACCCUUGACCACGGUAUAGUCAGCGACUAGGGUGAAGUCGUAACAAGGUAGCCGUAGGGGAACCUGCGGCUGGAUUACCUCCUU
rnacentral:rRNA from 1 species